rnacentral:lncRNA from 10 species
GCCUCCACCUCCAGCUGUGGCCCUCAUCCCGGAGACUAGGACAGAGCAGAGGAGGGCUUCAUAGUGAUGGGCCCCCAGGCCUGGGCCCUUGAGUGAGGCUGGCAUCAAGGUAUCCUGUGGCAUACCGCCCCCCCCAUCCAGUUCCCUGGGCAGCCACCAUUGCGUUUGUCCCUGUGUCUCCGGUAUUAACACCUGGCGAGAAAGUGUUGGAAGGAGACCCACUACAAGGCAGCCUCACCAGCUGUGUGAUUUGCGCUGCCGUCACUGUCGCCGCAUGUGAGACACCCCCUCCUCCCCAAGGCCAGUGAUUGCGCCAGAGCUCCUGCGCGCUGGCAAGCAGGUGACGCCGCGGGUGACGGCCAGCCAGGGCGGGGGUUGUGGGGGCGGGAGGCAAGGGGAGAAGAGGGCAUGUUCCCAUCGGUGAGGCGAGAACUCACCCGUGGUCCAAAGCAACGAGGGCGGGGGGCACCCUCCAUCUCUACCGCACUCCCUCGGGGCACACACUGGCGCGCUCCGCGUCCUCAGGUGCUCCGAGCUUCCCCGCGUCACCCGCAGCCCAGGGCGCCCCCCGCGACGCCGCCAUUCAUUCCUCCUACACUGCGAGCGCACCACUCCAGAGCCGCGGGGGGCUACAGCCACCGGACUAGGGCUGGGGGUGUCUGCCCUGGUGCGCGCGCGUCGGCCCAGUUUCUAUAGACCCCUCCUAGGAGAGACUGAAAUACCCAGAUUCAGGAGACGGAGACACUGGCACAGAGAUACAGGAGUCAAGAAUGGAGAUAGAUAGAGAAAGGCAGACACUUAAGGGACAGGCAUAGACAAAGGCCAUAACACAGCGAAAGAGAUACGGGGCACAGAGACAGAGAGAUACAGACACUUAGAGAUGGACUGACACACACAAAGGCGGAGACAGAGACACAGACCGGCACUCAGAGGCGCACGGACCCUGACGAUCUACUUAAGACCAGCAGAGCAACUAGUACAAGAGCGCGUCAGCGGCAAGGGCACCAUCCCACUGGCCCGAGCUCUUCCCGCGCUGUGGGUUCGUGCCUUCCCCAGUCACCCUGUACCCGAGUCUCCUCCCCGCGCAUUUCCCGCUCCCCGCUUUCCAUUGCCAGCCCUGCGGCCGCCUUCCCGCCCCAACGCGCCCGGCCAGCUUUUGCCCUCCUGCUCCCAGUCCCCCUUGCACGCCUCUCCCAGCCUAGGGGUCAGACCCUCCUCCAAGCUCCUCCAGUACCAGGCUCGAUCCCACCCCCCUUCGGUCCCGCCCCUCCCCGCGAGGUCCCGGCCGGGUUGGCUGGUACUAUUCCCCAAGACCCACGUGCUGGCCAUUCCCCGCCACAGUGCGGGAACCUCCCACUCCAGCUGCCUCUGUUCCCGGGGUAGCUGGGCGCGCUCCUGCCCCCGGCCCCGCCUCUUUCCCCUGGCCAGUGCCCGCCCCGCCUCCACCGCGCCCCGCCCGCC